GGAUCUGACAUCAACGCUCUCAGGCUGACAAUGCCAGGAAGUCUGUCUGACUCAAUUUCUGACUGCAAAAGCAUCCUGUGUCUGCCAUCCCACUGCAAGAGUGUCCGGGUCCACGUCACUGACUGCACCAUCCCACUGCAAGAGUGUCCUGGUCCACCUCACUGACCUGCUAGGCAUAAAACGGUGAAUGUUUCUGACUGAAAAAGCGAUUCCAAUGUUAAAAAGCGCAUGUGUCAUGGUCUAGCUAAAUUAGACUUGCCUAGUUCCCAUGUGUUUUUAUGUUUUAUAUGUGCAACCUGCUGCUAGUAAAGGUUGCUCUUUCCGUUGCUAUAGGUCAGUUGGAAUUUUAGGCCGGUCAGAAAAUAGGGGCAGUACAUGGUCGGUCUCAGCUCAUCACAUUCUUGUUUUAAUAUUUGUUUUGGUUUUGUUUGGCUGAUGGGAUGUGGAGGUCCACUCUACAUUUGCAUUUCUGCACACGAUCCCGGUAAUCAUCAAGAGAACAAGCCCCAUUUAGAUAUGGAGAGAAGACUAAAUCCCUGAAGUCAAGUGCAUUACUAUCGGUGUUCGUCACACAGAAAGCAUUUGAACUCCUACAAGGGACAACUAUCUUCACCAAAUUGGACCUCCGUAACGCCUACCACCUGGUCCGGGUCAAGGAGGGAGACGAGUGGAAGACGGCCUUCAACACACCUACAGGUCAUUAUGAAUAUUUAGUUAUGCCAUUUGUUGUCCAAUGCACCAGCGGUUUUCCAGGGACUCAUUAACGAGGUUCUCAGAGAAAUGUUAAACCAUUUUGUGUUUGUCUAUUUGGAUGACAUUUUGAUUUUCAAAUCCCUUCAUGAACAUGUCCAUCAUGUCAGAGUCGUCCUCCAGCGCCUGCUUGAGAAUCAUCUCUUUGUAAAACCUGAAAAAUGUUCCACGUCUCUGAGGUGUCCUUUUUGGGCUUCAUCCUGUCCAAGGGGAGUCUUCUCACAGAUCCCAAGAAGACUCAAGUUGUUCGGGAUGGGCCCCAACCAUCCUCUGUCCAAGAGGUGCAACGGUUCAUCAGAAACUUCAGUUCUGUUGUCGGCCCUAUGACCGAUCUCACAAGGAAGAAGUCUGGCUCCUUUAAGUGGUCUCCAGCAGCAGAGAUGUUGUGGGGGAUCGUGAGCUUCUGGCUAUUAAGAUGGCCUUGGAGGAAUGGCGCCACUGGCUAGAAGGGGCCCAGCACCCUUUUGUGGUUUGGACGGACCACAAAAAUCUGGAGUACAUUCAGAGGGCCAAAUGUCUCAACCCUAGGCAGGCAAGGUGGGCUCUUUUUUUAAUAGAUUAAUUGAUUUGAUUUUGUCCUUCCGCCCUGGUUUGAAGAACCAAAAGGCCGAUGCACUCUCUAGACUGUUUCACAGACCAGGGGUUGAAAGAGUUCCAGCGUCCAUCCUCCCAUGCUAGAGGAUUGUAGCUCCGGUCCGAUGGGGAGUUGAGACAUUGGUGCGCCAAGCCCAGAAGAGAGAGCCAGAUCCCGGGUAUGGACCCUCCAACCGGACCUAGGUUCUGCAGUGGAGGCACUCUUUGCGUCUGACCGGCCCUCCAGGAAUGGGCAGGACUCUGGAGUUCAUCAACAGGGGGUUCUGGUGGCCGGGAAUGAACAUUUUGAACUUUUGUUGCGGCCUGCUCGGUCUGCGCCAUAAGUAAGAGCAGACCUGCUCCCCCUCUACGUCCAGGACAGAGCGCCUACCUAUCAACGCGAGACCUUCCUCUGCGGGUGGAGUCCUGCAAGCUAGCUCAGCGGUUUGUGGGGCCCUUCAAGGUUGUGAGGAAGGUUAAUCCAUUAGCCUAUCGCCUCUAACUCCCCCGGUCCAUGCGGAUCAACCCAACCUUCCAUGUCUCCCGGCUACGCCCAGUUGCCACGAGCCCACUGGUCCAUCCAGCUAUGACCCCUCCUACCACCAGGAUCAUCGACGGCGGUCCAGCUUAUACGGUCCAACGUCUAAUGGACUGUCGCCGGGUGGGGAGGGGCCUGCAAUAUCUGGUGGACUGGAAGGGCUAUGGUCCGGAAGAACGGUCCUGGGUUCCUUCCCGGCUUGUACUCGAUCCAACCCUCAUCAGGACCUUCCACCAAAGUCAUCCAGAUCACCCUCGAG
ensembl:lncRNA